rnacentral:lncRNA from 1 species
UUAAUUUCUUCUGGGACAGAACUACCUACCCUUCCUGCCUGGAUUGUGCUUCUGCCUUUACUCUUCUAGAAUGUAGUUAGAAAGGGAGGUGUCAUUGUGUGUGGCCUUGCCUACUUGGUCCCCACACUUGGUCGAGAGGCAUAUACCUGACUCAAGGAACAAUCUAUUGGGACAUUCAACCACAUCAGCAAAGAACCACAUCAUCAUUUCUAACAGCUGCACACUGUUGUUUGAGUAAAUCAAUGUAUUUCACAUUUUAGUAUUUCCUAUUUUAAAACAUUAUAAGACUGUGGUGAACACUGAAUAUAUGUGCUAAUA